CAGCAGCCGCGGGAAAACGAAGGGUGCAAGCGUUACUCGGAAUUACUGGGCGUAAAGCGUGCGUAGGUGGUUUGUUAAGUUGGAGGUGAAAUCCCCGGGCUCAACCUGGGAACUGCCUCCAAAACUGGCUGACUAGAGUACGGUAGAGGGUGGUGGAAUUUCCUGUGUAGCGGUGAAAUGCGUAGAUAUAGGAAGGAACACCAGUGGCGAAGGCGACCACCUGGACUGAUACUGACACUGAGGUGCGAAAGCGUGGGGAGCAAACAGGAUUAGAUACCCCAGUAGUCCCUGUCUCUUAUAC
rnacentral:rRNA from 1 species